CUCGAACGACAGGGGAGCGCAGUGUGCGCUGAGAUCGUGCCGCACCCGGCACCAAACCCUCGAACCUGACCCGGUUAGCACCGGCGGAGGAAGUCGAGUUCUCACUCGU
rnacentral:ncRNA from 1 species